AUCUAUUUACCAGUCAUUGUUACAUAGCUGGGAGGAUAUCUAAUUAGUAUUUUUUACAUCAGAAAAUUGUAAGAUGCUUUAAUGAUCAGUUUGUCCUGUGCUAUAUGUUUAUGAAACUGCUGAAACCUACAACCUUCUAAUUGGCAGUUGGCUGCUAAUCUUAUGAACAGUGGUGUGAGACUGAAUGCCAUUUGUCCAGGCUUUGUUAACACAGCCAUCCUUGAAUCAAUUGAAAAAGAAGAAAACAUGGGACAAUAUAUAGAAUAUAAGGAUCAUAUCAAGGAUAUGAUUAAAUACUAUGGAAUUUUGGACCCACCAUUGAUUGCCAAUGGAUUGAUAACACUCAUUGAAGAUGAUGCUUUAAAUGGUGCUAUUAUGAAGAUCACAACUUCUAAGGGAAUUCAUUUUCAAGACUAUGAUACAACUCCAUUUCAAGCAAAAACCCAAUGAACAGCUUAUGUGUUAGCCAUAGCUGAAAAUAAGCACAAAUAGCUUAUAUUCAGAUCCUAUCUUCAUUUGAAUAUAGCUUUUAAAUG
rnacentral:lncRNA from 1 species